rnacentral:rRNA from 1 species
UACAGAGGUCCCGAGCGUUGUUCGGAUUCAUUGGGCGUAAAGGGUGCGUAGGCGGCGCGGUAAGUCGGGUGUGAAAUCUCGGAGCUUAACUCCGAAACUGCAUUCGAUACUGCCGUGCUUGAGGACUGGAGAGGAGACUGGAAUUUACGGUGUAGCGGUGAAAUGCGUAGAUAUUCGGAGGAACACCAGUGGCGAAGGCGGCUCACUGGUCCAUUACUGACGCUGAGGUGCGAAAGCGUGGGGAGCAAACAGG